CAGCAGCCGCGGUAAUACGUAGGGUGCGAGCGUUAAUCGGAUUUACUGGGCGUAAAGCGUGCGCAGGCGGCCCGUUAAGACAGGUGUGAAAUCCCUGGGCUCAACCUAGGAAUUGCGCUUGUGACUGGCGGGCUCGAGUACGGUAGAGGGGGGUGGAAUUCCUGGUGUAGCAGUGAAAUGCGUAGCGAUCAGGAGGAACACCGAUGGCGAAGGCAGCCCCCUGGGCCUGUACUGACGCUCAUGCACGAAAGCGUGGGGAGCAAACAGGAUUAGAUACCCUGGUAGUCCACGCCCUAAACGAUGGGUACUAGCCGUUUGGUGCGCGAUAGCGCUGAGUGGCGAAGCUAACGCGUGAAGUACCCCGCCUGGGGAGUACGGCCGCAAGGUUGAAACUUAAAGGAAUUGGCGGG
rnacentral:rRNA from 1 species